GUGCUCGGUUCGGCAGUACAUAUACUAAAAUUGGAACAGUACAGAGAAUAUUAGCAUGGCUCCAGCACAAGGAUAACACACAAAUUCAUGAAGAGUUCCAUAUUGGA